UGUUCAUUUUGUUUUAAAUCUCUAUUUUUGAGAAAAUCCGAUGUUGUUACUGUAGGAUAAUGUGAGUAAUGGUUUCAAACGUCACAUUUUUAGAAGGAUUUUUGCCCGUGAUAUUGCUGAUUUGGCUUCGAAAGUUGGUGUUUCUAUUCUUUGAUUCUGGAUUCUGAGGAAUAGCUCUUGAUUUUCUUCGUUUCGGUUCAAAUUUGGCUUUUGAUUUUUUUGCAUGGUGCGGAUAUGAACUUAUGGGGAGGUAGGUGCUCUUCCACUCAUCCCUCCUAAUUCAACGCUUGUUUUCGACGUGGAGUUAUUGUCUUGGAACACUGUAAGGGAUCUGUCCGGGGAUGGAGGGAUCUUGAAGAAUAUAAUAAAAGAGGGUGAGGAUUGGGCCACUCCAAAAGAAGCUGAUGAAGUUCUAGUUAAAUAUGAAGGCAGGCUGGAUGAUGAAACGAUUGUUUCAAGUCAGAUAAGGGUGUGGAAUUUCAUAUCAGAGAUGAUGUUGUAAAAAAUGGAAACAAAACCAUUAGAAGUGGAUUACAGAUUCUGCCCAAUUUGAAUUUAACUGUGGAUAUCUUGCUAGUUUCAUGGAAGAGUGUCAUUGAUGUUACUGGUGAUGAUAAAGUAGUUAAAAAGAUUAUGAGAGAAGGUGAAGGUUAUGACCAUCCUGGCGAAGGAUCCAAGGUGAAGGUGAAAUACACUGGCAAACUUGAAGAUGGAACAGUUUUUGAGAGGAAAGGAACUGAUGAAGAGCUUCUUGAGUUCAUGUGUUUUGAAGGUAUGAGUGCACCUA